CCGGCCCCGCCCCCGCCGCGCUGCUGCGCUCCGGGGGACACUCCAUCAACACCGAGCCCAGCGGGGAGAUCGGUGUAGCAGCCCUGCCAGUCCAGCCGCAGCCCUCAGACGCGUCCCACCACAUCGACUUAUGAACGCGCCCCGGCCGCGGUCCCCCUCGCCGGCCCGACUCUGUCGCAAGAGGUCAUGUCGCACGCCCGGUACUACCCACCCUUACUUAACUGCUAAAUGUAGUAGGCAUUGCGGCUUUAUUUGAAUACGACUUCUUAACAAUGGUUUGUAACAGGUUUGUGAAAAGCUUCUGUUAUAUCCUGUUACAAACUAGACGACUAGAGAAUUAAACAGUUUAUAAUAUCGGGAAUUUCACCAGCCUGAUUUAAGAGCUGUUGUUUGAGUUCAUGCGCUUAUUCAGAGGUACAUCGUCCUUUUUUCCCAUUUUGGUCCUCCUAGCAACUAUGUGUACGUGGCGUGCGAUACCUCAAUGUUAUCGAAUUAGAUGUCGAAUUUCAAUUAUUCAACAUUAGUACUGUUGAUUUGCUUCUUACUGUGUUAUAACUUUGAAUAGGCAGAGUUGCACCGAUAAACUUUAUUUAAAGCUGAAAAGAACGAUACACUUUUAUACAAUUGACUGAAGAACAAAACUACGGAGAUAGCUCUUAUCAGUGAAUUUAGAAAACUUUGAGAUGUUAGAACUAAACUAAACAGCUCCAAUAUAUUUAACUUACUUUCCGUGGUGCGACUCUUUGUGCUAAUAUUGAUUAUAAUUUAUGUUCACCACUCCGCAAUAAUUUGUUAAAAGAUAUGAUAUAAAAGUAUUAAAAAGUCCUAAGUCAAAGAUCAAAGAUAUAUCUUACAAACUUUAAAUUUUGAUCUAUAAUAUCUUUAAAAAAUGUACAGAAGUAUCAUGAUAUAUCAAGUAAAGAGAACCGAUAUAAUCGCUAUAAGAAACAAUGCACUUUUAAACAUGUUUUCAGAUCAAGAAUUAAGAAACUUAGGACUUUUCAGGUAAUAUGGUCAAUUUAAAUUCGUUACGGAGUACACUUAAUAUAAGUAUUACAUUGGGCAGGAAUAACGCUGUCUGCAUGGUCAUGUGUCCAAUACAAUAUGUCUUAUAUUCCAAUUUCGGUCAAGCAAGAAUGGACUUUAUGCCUGUCUGCAGUUGGUACAGGUUUUAUUACAGCGCUGUUCUAUGCCUGAUUACAAUACCAUCUUAACGGCAAAAACUUCAAUUGCCUGUGUAAAAAGUUUAUAGAAGGAAUAUUAAACUUAAAACGAAUGGAAGUACAUAUUUUUGUCAAUCACUAACGAAUACUUCCAUUGUAUGUAGACACCUCUCAUAUAUAAAUAAAAUAAACUUAAUAUAAUGACUUUAUUUAAACUGUUAUCAUGAUUGUUUUCUACUUUAAAAGUGCCUGAUAGCAAAGAUCGAUCAGAACUUAUAUUAAAUAAUAUUUAUAAUCAAGAAAACUAAAUUAACAAUGGUGCAAUAACUACUCUGAGUAUGAUCCAGUCCAUAUUAGUCCAUCAGACUUAGGCCCUACAAUGUUAUUUAACUAUUUGAAAUCAUUGUAGAUAGAGUCAGUUAGUUUUUAAUGUUAUGUCAGAAAGGUAGCUAUACAGCCAAGUAGACGAGUAACAUACUUACAAGCUCCCGGCCCCUAAUUCUGCUAUUUACAAUGGCCGAUGCAAGAAUGGCAAUUGGAUUAUAUUUGACGCUAUUCAUAUUCUCAUAAGUAAUUUAGCAACAUAAUAUUUGGAAAUUCAUUGUAUUAACCGUGAGUGUUCCGCCCCGAACUGAAUGUCCGAUUAUUGUGCUGGAAAAAUACUUACGAGAAUACGAAAAUUUGUCAUUUAAAUCCAAUUUCCAUUUAUUCAUCAGCCAUUGUAAAUAGUACCCCCCCCCCCUAAAUGGAAUUUCUGAAAUGUAUUUAAAUGACACUUGAAAGUCACGUGACUAGUCGAAACUCGAAAGUAUCAUUUUCAUACAUUUGACCGUUGCUUGUGAAGUUGUCGCUUGUCUACGGUUUUGGUUUCGAUUCAGCCCUGAAAUUUUAAUUUUAAAUCAGACCUUCUUCAUGUUAUUAAAAACGUAUGAGAUUUAUUUAUUUGUACCAAAAUAUCACAUAAAUGUUUGUUUAGACAGUCAUUAAUUUUCUAUAGUAAAAAUUAUAUUAUAAAGCUCAUAAUUGCUUAUUAACUUAACGAGUAAAAUCGUUUUUAAUACUUUGCUGUGUUAUAAAAAUUGGCCAGUGAAAUAAAACUAGGCACUGUAAAACAUGAUGAUGCAGAUCACAAUCAUAUACCUCUCUCUUGUUUUUAAAUGUAUUACGUUUAACACUAAUCAUCUUAAAAGGCUUUUUUGCACUUCCGGUCGAACUAUAAUAAUAAAUAAUAAUAAUUCCAUGAUGGGUUGUGAGUCAAAACACUUGCAAAUAAACCUUUAUGAAUCACAUUAGUGUACAUGUUAUAAAAAUUAUUAUGUAUUAUAAGAUAAAUAAUGUAGUAAUUUUAUAAAUAAGUAAACGUUUAAAUUAUAGUGGUUAAUUACGUUAGAAUGUUUCUUUUUUACAAUUCGUUAUAUAUUAACACGCGCUCCUUAGUUCUAAAUUGAACUGCGUCUGGGAAUAUGUUUUUGUUUUUACUAUGUUGACAUGCUCCUAUUACAUAGCUCUGCUUACUUGACUGAAGGAGGUGUAUUGUUCUACAUUUUAGUUCAGAACUAAGGAGUCAUCUCACUAAUCUGUAUAAAAGAGAUCACCCUGUAUAUAGGAUCAGUUGGACUGUAGGUGACGGCGACUUCGCUUUAUGCCAUAACACUGUGACUACCGACUAACACUUUAUUUUAAUUUGUUGAAUCAUGCUUAAACCGCUACAUAACACUUAAUGUUGACUCCGUACUUUUGACAGACGGAAAAUUUUGAGCUUGCAACACCAUUGAAAAACUAAUACAAGAAUUACAGUCUGUGUGAAUGUAGCGUAAUUAAGUUAGAUAUAAACAAGCUAUCCUAAAUAGUUUUAUAUUUUAGCGUUUUCUAAAUUAUCUGAUCAAUUAGUUACUUAAUAUAUUCCUAGAUUUUUUUUAUGUUAGAUUGAAAGUAUGAUAUAUGGACAAACGUUUAGGUAAAUACCAACGAAGCUUCAAAAUGUAUUAAGCUUGUCCAAAUUUAAAUCGAGUCUUUGAUCAGCUGUUUAUUUGCUUCCUAAAAGGAUAGCUUGUUCAACUUUUAUUAUUAAAAUGUUAAUGCUUUAUUUACUUGUGAUAUAUUUGUAUGUUAAGAACGGUAGGUCGGGAAAGAGAACUUGAAUAAGUUGUGUAUGUAAUGCUGAAUUUGUGGUCAGUGGCCGCGAAACUGAUUCGCAAGUUUAGAAAUAAAGCCAAAGGAAAUAUGAAA